UCGGCUUUCUUGACAAUAUAAUAAAUAAUCUUUGUCUUCUCUCAAAAAGCCCCAGUGAGUCACGUGAUAAGCUGCAACAGGUCAUAUGACUGAAGGGAAAGUUCCUUCUGAUUGUACAAAAUCGCAGAGGACUUAGCACAAACUCGUAUCGCAGGUGCAUCGCAGUUUGGGGAAAUAGAGCUUAACGUUUUCAAUUUGUUCUUAUACGUAGACUCAAGUUCCUUGCUAGUUAUUAUCGUAGAUUCAAAUCUCUGCGUAGUGCUGUAAACAGGAGCGUGGUGUGACGCGAUGAAGGUGAGCGGUGUGUUGUUGUGUGUGUUCCUGCUCUGGGUGGAGGGCUCCCAGGCUGAUACCCCGGCCAACUGCACAUAUGAAGACCUGUUGGGCUCCUGGGUGUUCCAAGUAUCGAAGGGGGGACAAGACAAAGGCAUCAACUGCUCCAUGAUGGACACCAUUGAUAAGUCGAUAACGGUGCGCCUGGAGAAGCUGUCUGUGGCUGUGGACGACCUGGGGAACACGGGAUUCUUCACCCUCAUCUACAAUCAGGGCUUUGAGGUUGUCCUCAACGACUACAAGUGGUUUGGCUUCUUCAAGUACUCUGAGCAGGGCUCUGAGGUGACCAGCUACUGUGACCAGACUCUGCCAGGCUGGGUCCAUGAUUCUCUGGGAAACAACUGGGCCUGCUUCACUGCCAAGAGGGUUGUCCCAACACCCCUCGCUCCGUAGACACACACCGCUACCAUCCCAAUGACCUGUUCCUCCAGAGGUCCUACAAACACAACCUGGACUUCAUUGACUCCAUCAACGUGGCCCAGAGCUCCUGGAAAGCCAUGGCCUACAGCGAACAUGAGACCUACACUCUGCAGCAGCUAAUGCACAGAGCUGGGGGAGCAGCUUCACACAUCCCCAGACGUGUUGGCCCCGCCCUGUGACAUCAACGCUAGCCAAGAUGGCGGCCGGCCUCCUGAGCGCUGGGACUGGAGAGAUGUCAACGGAGUCAACUACCUCAGUCCUGUCCGCAACCAGGCUUCGUGUGGUAGCUGCUAUUCCUUUGCCUUAAUGGGAAUGUUGGAGGCUCGUGUCCGGCUCCAAACCAACAACACAGAGACUCCCAUCUUCAGCCCACAGCAGGUCGUGUCCUGCUCCCAGUACUCCCAAGGUUGUGACGGUGGUUUCCCCUACCUCAUUGGGAAGUACGUCCAGGACUUUGGGAUCGUGGAAGAGUCGUGUUAUCCGUACGCUGGGACAGAUUCCCCGUGUGACGUUCCCGAUGGCUGUCUCCGCCACUACACUUCGGACUACAGCUACGUCGGAGGGUUCUACGGAGGCUGCAGCGAGUCUGCCAUGAUGCUGGAACUGGUCAAGAACGGACCCAUGGGGGUGGCCUUUGAGGUGUAUCCUGACUUCAUGCACUACAAGGAGGGUAUCUACCACCACACAGGCCUCCAUGACCCCUACAACCCGUUUGAGCUGACCAACCACGCGGUGCUGCUGGUGGGCUACGGCCAAUGUCACGUCACGGGUCAGAAGUUCUGGGUGGUGAAGAACAGUUGGGGGACGAAGUGGGGCGAGGAGGGCUUCUUCAGGGUCAGACGGGGGUCUGACGAGUGUGCCAUUGAGAGCAUCGCUGUGGCAGCCAAGCCCAUCCCUAAACUGUAGAGGGUCUACGGGGGUAGGAGGGAAAGGGUUAAUCUUUAGGCAUUUUCUCAAUUGGAACCUAGCCUGAAGUCUACAAUUGCAUAUAAAUGUAAUAUUUUGAAAUGGCUGGGACGUUGUCAGAGUGUAACUGUAAAAGUGUUCCCCAGGCUCGCUGGACAGUCUGAUCCUUGCCAGUCAGAUGGAUAUUU